rnacentral:rRNA from 1 species
AUUGAACGCUGGCGGCAUGCCUUACACAUGCAAGUCGAACGGCAGCACGGGAGCAAUCCUGGUGGCGAGUGGCGAACGGGUGAGUAAUAUAUCGGAACGUGCCCAGUCGUGGGGAUAACGUAGCGAAAGCUACGCUAAUACCGCAUACGAUCUAUGGAUGAAAGCGGGGGAUCGCAAGACCUCGCGCGAUUGGAGCGGCCGAUAUCAGAUUAGGUAGUUGGUGAGGUAAAGGCUCACCAAGCCGACGAUCUGUAGCUGGUCUGAGAGGACGACCAGCCACACUGGGACUGAGACAACGGCCCAGACUCCUACGGAGGCAGCAGUGGGGAAUUUUGGACAAUGGGNGCAAGCCUGAUCAGCAAUGCCGCGUGCAGGAUGAAGGCCUU